GACAGAGGGUGCAAACGUUUGUUCGGAAUUACUGGGCGUAAAGCGCGUGUAGGCGGCUAAGUAAGUCGGGCGUGAAAUCCCACGGCUCAACCGUGGAAGUGCACUCGAAACUGCAUAGCUAGAGUCCUGGAGAGGAAGGUGGAAUGCUUGGUGUAGAGGUGAAAUUCGUAGAUAUCAAGCGGAACACCGGUGGCGAAGGCGGCCUUCUGGACAGUGACUGACG
rnacentral:rRNA from 1 species